ensembl:lncRNA
AUUUGAAACUUGUGAAGAAGAGGAUGGUGAUCUCAGGUGAAGUGUUUAUUCAAAGUUGAUGGCUUCCACACCAGGAAUCACCAUAAAAAUCAGGAGUCUCCAGCCUGGAAAUGGAUCUGUCCAAGAAGAACCAGCAGCAUCAAGCAGUGUGGGAAGGAAGGUGGGGAGUGACUGCUGGUUGUCUCAUGAAAGCCUUUUUUCCUAUGCAAUGGCACCAGGUCAGAGUUAAUCAAAGGAAAUGAUUCCUUGCAGAGAUGGGGAAAAACAAUCAAUCACACUAGUUUGAAAGCAACUAAGUAAAUUUACAAACAUCUACUCAGGCUUUUAAGUGCCAGAAUAACCCUUCUGGAUCAAGAAACUUUCAAAGGCUAGAAGAAUAUUCUGGGAAAAUAUGCCUAAUCUAUUCUCUACUCUUGUUCCUUGUGGCUGCUAUGACCAGAGACCAGAGACUUGCUACUGGCCCAAACUGACCCACAGCCUGACUCAGAAUGGCUACUCCGAUGUUCCUGUCACAGGUUUUCCUGACCAUUUCUUCUUGCACAGGUUGUACCAGGCUGCUCUUGGUACCUCACUUCUCCCUUCUUUUAUUGAGACAGCUCAUCUCAAUCAAACUACGUGCUCUUGUGCUUCCAAUGAUUAUCUCUUUCAGUAGUCGUUGUUUUCCAGUCUGGCUGGUGUUACACUUGCUGUGGUUCACAAAACUGCACCGGGACAAAGCCUUGGCUGGGGCAAAAACUGCCACAUACAGACUAUUUUCCAAGUUUCUCCAUACAGCUGAGAUGUGAUGUGAUGAGUUUCCCAAACACUCCACCAGUUUAAGUUAAUGGUUCUUGCAGAAACAUUUGUUGUACCACGCAAAAAGCCCAACCCCAAAGCAAACAUGUUCUGUUUGACUACCCAUUACAUAAGAAUGGGGUACAGUGCAAUGCUUUCUAUCCUCUUCCAGGUUUGCUCAGUUUGGGUCAGCAUACUUAGCAGACAGAAAUACACUGGCAGCUCCCCAGCUUCUUGUGGGAGAGAAGAAAGGAUGAUAAUGACAGCUCCCUUGCGCCUACACUUGGAAACUCUUCCACCCUUCCUCCUUGUGCUGCAGGUGAGUGACCCACACAAUGCUUCCUCUUCCUAUGCAAAGCCAGAGACAGGCAGAGGAUCAACCUGCCCAAGCAGAGCUCUGAUGAAUUUGCACAUCCUGAAGUGUCACUUUCUACAUUAG